GAGAGGAAGACACAGACUCUGAAGCAGGCUCCAGGCUCUGAGCUCUCAGUACAGAGCCCCAUGCAGGGCUUGAACUCGUGAACCGUGAGAUCAGGACCUGAGCGUCCCAGGCAAAUACUUCUUUUUAAAAAAUAUACAUUAAUAUCAGGCGUCCCAGGCAAAUACUUCUUUUUAAAAAAUAUACAUUAAUAUCAACUGACCCAGUCACAUUUUUUGCAAAACUUGAUAAGCUGAUCCUAAAAUUGGUAUGGAAUUGAAGAGACGCAGAGUAUCCAAAACAAUCUUGAAAAAGAACAAAGUUGGAGGACUCGCACUUCCUCAUUUCAAGACUUACUACAAGCUACAGGAAUCAAAGCAGUGCGGUACUGACCUAGAUCCAUGGACUAGCGUUGAGUCCAAAAAUAAAUCCUUAUUUCUGUGGUCAGUUGAGUUUUGACAGUGGUGCCAAGGCCAUCCAAUGAGGUAAAGGAUAGUUUCUUCAGAUGAUUUUGGGACAACUAUCUGCAUGCAAAAGAAUGAAUUUGGACCCACAACUCAGACCAUAAACAAAACCAACUCAUUGUCAAAAUGGAUCAAAGACCUAAACAUAGGAACUAAAGCUACAAAACCAACUGAAACAGCUUGUAGUACAAAGGGAGAGGGACAAAAAAGGAAAAUUGGAAUACUAGAGAGAAAAAAUAGAAAUAAUAGUUCACUGCAAUCCUAAGAAAACAAAAAAAUGGAAGGGAAGAACGAAAACAAUAGACAAAUGAGAACAAUGGAAAGAAUGUGUUUAUGAGGUAGAGCAGAAGGGCUUGAGAGCUGAUUGUGGAGAACAGGCGGGAAGGCCAGCCAGACAGCAGUAAGCCCAGGACUGUGGGAGUAGCGGUCAUGAGCAGGAUCCCCAAAUAACCUUUCAUCGUUGCCCAGGAUGGCCCAACCUAGGGUGGAUGGCGAAGCAGUCUGCUCUUUGGCUUCUGGUCACUGUCGACUAACUGUAAGUCGGAUGUCCUCUAGGAUUUCAAGACUAUAUAAACAUUUCUAAUCCUCUCUUAGCAUACAUGUAGUUGUUUCAUGAGCCCAGUUAACAUCCUCUUCCUUUUCAGACCCAGAGCUGAAGUGUUAACAAUUAGUUUUACCGGUUCUUGUGGGCCUGUUUUGUACACAUGUAUCCAGCAGAUGGCGUUCAAGUCCUCAAGACUUCAGAUGACUCUAGAACAGCACUGCCUCAUAGAAAUAGGAUGAGAGCCCUCUGUCAUUUUCAGUUUUCUGGGACCCACAUUACAAAAGUGUAAUUAAUUUUAUUGUAUACUUUAUUUAGUAUAUCCGAAAUAUUUCAACACCAUAUUAAAAAAAUAUUGAAAUAUUUUACAUUUGUUUUCACACCAAGUGUUCAAAAUCAACUGCAAAUCCUCCCAUUGUACAUCUCAAUUCGGAUGCUAAGUUUUCAUCAGGAGUACUCGAUCUGUAUUUAUAUGUCAUAAAACAUACAGGAAAAAGUAGACUCACACAUCCACAUUGUUGCAAAAAGACAAACAUUUUUAAGUUUGCCAGUAACUGAAUCCAAUAUCAAGUCAUAAUACAAUUUUAGUUCUUAGUCAUACUAGCCACAUUUCAGAUGCUCAAAAGACACGUGUCUAGGGCUACUGUCUGUCCAGCACAGUACAACUCUACAUGAUCUGUUUUUAUACGCUUUAUGGUCUGACCACACCUACUCCUCCCAUUAGCAGCUAAAGGACUGAUAAACAUUUCUUCCAGGCAUACGUUAAGCAUUCAAGAUUGGGCAGUGUUUCACUUGAAGGCAAGGAGCAGUGAAAUCUGUCAGAAAACAUGACCACACCUUAUUCAUAUCUUUGUAGAGCUAAGCGGAAUGUUUUGGAUCAGAAAUUGCUUUGAAUUACUUGUUUUCAUUGUAAUCUUUCCUCCAGGCCUUUGUGUGUUUUGAUACAGUUCAUUUGAAUUGGCUAAAUAAAUCAUUUUGUUUGCUUGCAAAAUUCCCAAAGGAGAAACUUUAAAUCCAUAUACAUGAGAUUUCUGCUAUGUUUAGCCGUACAUUUGCCAAAGACUUGUGGGAUCAUUUAUUUCUUCUUAAAGCCAUAGUGCAGCCUGCAGGAUGGUUUUCAGCUAACCUUGUUGUGACAUAGAGACGAGGCGGUAGAAUUUAGAAUUUGGAGCAAGGGUGGGUACUGGUCUUUACAGUUAACCCAAAAUAGAUUAGCCACGCCGUAUGCGUGUAGUUUCUUUUUUAGCCUGUAAAUUGAACUAAGUCAGUUAUAUGCCAAGCAGUUCCUGUAAAAAACAACAUGGCUAAGGUAAGUGAUAAUGAUUGAAAAGAAUUUGUUGACCCACUGAAAACUGGGAGAGAGAAUGAAACUCCCCCGGCCCUCCCGCCCGUUCCUUGCCUUGGUGAGGCAUUUUGCUAGUGUAGGUUGUGAACGUCUAGUUUAAUGUUUAUAGUUUGGGGUCGGUGGGGAAGAGACUGAUGUGAUGGGUGUAGAUCAUUGUCUAGGAAAACUGGAAAAUUCAUGGAAUGAAACAAGGUGUUUUAGUGAAAACCUGCCAUUCAGGCCAAAUAUUGAUCUGUUACCCUGUUUCUUAAAUCCUGGGCUCCAUUUAUAUAUUCAUGCAUGGUAAAUGUAUGUUUGUUCAGUGACGGGAUUGGUCAGAAAUACUACUUCUUUUUCAUCCUUAAUUUAAAAAAUUUCUUUCUCCACAUUUCUAACUACCACGUUCUUCCUAAUUGUGAAAGCUCACCUGCUUGGUGGCAAUUUUGCCUGGUGAUAAGCAUCUUCCCUGGGGUACAUUGUAUUCUGUUCCUGUUUCUUUUUUUUUUUUUUUAGGUUUUUUUUAUUUUGGGAGAGAGAGUAUAUGUGUGUGCAAGUAGGGGAAGGGCAGAGAGAGAGAGGGAGAGAGAGAAUCCGAAGCAGGCUCCACACUGUCCGUGCAGAGCCCGAUGUAGGGCUCGAUCUCAGGAACCACAAAAUCAUGACCUGAGCUGAAGUGGGAUGCUUAAUUGUCUGAGCUACUCAGGCGCCCGCCCCUCUGUUUCUGUUUCUGAGAGUUAUCAGCAAUUAAGCUUCCUUGAACUUGAAUAUGAGGAGUAGUUUUAGAUACUCGACCCCUCAUUGCCCCUUCCCUGCCCCACACCUCUCUGCACGUGUUGUUCAGGGUUGUUUAUGAAAAACAGAAACACAAAAAUAGGUUCUGCUCAUAGCCGGUUCUCCCAGGUCACAAACAUGUCUGAGAAUGGCACUGCUGUUUUUGUAGGAGACCCAAGAUUUACUGUCUUCAGUAAUCAAUAGAUUUUUUUAAAUCAAGGUAUAAUUUACAUACAACAUAUUAGUUUCAUUGUACACCAUAAUGGUUUAAUAUUUGUAUGUAUCGUGAAGUGAUCACCAUAACAAGUCUAGGUAUCAUCCAUCACCACACUAGUUGCAGAAUUCUUUUUCUUGUGAUGAGAACUUCUGAAGUCUACUGUCUUAGCACCUUUCAAAUAUGUAAUCCAGUGUUAACUGUAGUCACCAUCCUGUACAUUACAUCCCAUGGCUUGCUUAUUUGAUAACUGGAACUUGGCAGUUUUUGACUCCCUUUAUCCGUUUCGUCCAUUCCAUCCUCUGCCUGUGGCAACCACCAAUCUGUUCUCUGUCCCUGUGAGCUUGGUUUUUGUUUUUGUUUUGUAUUUGUUUUAGAUUCCACAUGUAAGAGAUCACAGGGUACUUGCCUCUCUGACUUCUUUCACUUAGCGUAAUGCUCUCAGAGCCCACCCGCGUUGUGGCAUAUGGCAAGAUUUCCUUAUUUUUGUGGCUGAAUAAUACUCCACUGUGUAUAUAAAUCUUCUUUCUCCAUUCAUCCAUCGAUGGACACUUAGGUUGCUUCCAUAUCUUGGCUAUUGUAAAUAAUGCUGCAGUUAACACAUGACUGCGUAUAUCUUUUCCAGUUAGUGUUUUUGUUUUCUUUGGAUAAAUACCCAGAAGUGGAAUUCCUGGAUCCUGGAUCCUGGUAGUUCGAUUUUUAAUUUUUUGAGGAGCCUCCAUAUUGUUUUCCAUAGUGGCUGCACCUGUUUACAUUCCCACUGUGUACCAAGGUUCCAGUUUUUUCAAAUUCUCCCCAACACCUGUUAUUUUUUGUCUUUUUGAUAAUAGUUAUUCUCACAGGUGUGACGUGAUAUACCCCAUUGUGGUUUUGAUUUGCAUUUCCCUGAUGUUGAGCAUUUUUUCAUAAUUUGCAAAGAUCUUUACCUUAGGAAAGGCUUUUUGUCCCUGCUUCUAAUGACCUGCAUAAGUUUUAAGGUAUACGUAACCAAUGUAAACAUAACAUUAAAAAAAAAUUUUUAACAUGUUUGAAACUGAGCUGCUCAGAUAUUUUUAAUUGGUACCUGAUAGUUCAUCAGAUUCAUCUGCAUCAUUGUUAAACCCUUCCUCAGUUGUUGGCUGGGUGCAUUAUUUCAGUAUUAGGAAUGAAGUGGCUAUAGGCAUCUUUUUUGUUUGGCUCAGCCAGCAUUGGUCUUUAUUCCAGUAGCUUCUCUCCUUUUAAAUCAUCCCUUUGGGCAUUAUUUUCAGAAGUGAGAUUACUGGGUCAAAGGGACGAUCAUUUUUAUGUUCCUUGAUAGGUCUUGCCGGGAGACCAUCUUAAUAAGGGCCCUUGAUGUCGUGAUAAAUCUCCCUGGUGGAGGAUGCAGGUGGUUUGCAAGUGAAUUCUGCUCUAGGAUAAGCAGUAACCAUAAGGUUUCAGUCUCCUGUGUAAACCUUCCUCGGUGGCAGGUGGUUAAGCUUGAUCAUGUGUGCUGGCCCCCACUCUGCUUCCUCUCAGAUCACUUCUCUCUCCAGCUCAGCCCUUUCUUCUUCUCAUCUGCCUAGAGAAUUCAAGCAUCUGUCCAGAACAUGCUUUCUAUAUUGAAUAGCAGAGAGGACAGUGUCUGUUAAUUUUCCUAGUCCCAUCUCCACCUCUUUUGUGCACUGAGUGAGGGCUCAUUCUCAUGCCUGUCCUAGCCUAAAGCUGGGCUUGCUCACUGAUUGCAGGCACGCAGUUACAUCUGCACUGCUUUCUGUCUUUAACAAAGCAUUUCUGAUUAAAACUACAGAGAGCCAGAAACUAGAGAAAAUAGCAAAGAAAGCCAGGACCAGGUGACCUGAGAGGGCUAAGUUUACAGCUUUUUGUUUUAAGUAUACAGCUGUAUAAACUUCUAAAAGAUACAUUCUUGGGUCAGUGCCAAUAAUGGGAAGGAAGGAUGCCCUUUUUUCUUCUAAACCUACACCCGAUUCCUCACCCCCCACCCAGCUUCCUUCUGAUUACAUGCACUUGCUUUUCCCAAAGCCUGUUCAGAACUUUCCCACUUUUCACCCGUGUUCUGCUUGUGCUCAGCUUGCUGUGUCUGUAUUUUUCAAGUACCCUUCCGGGUGCACCAAGGACUAGAAAUCCCUUUGUCCUGUAGGCAGAAAUCAGGGUGCUGUGAUUUGGUUCCUCUCCUUGGCUAAUCUCUACAGCAGCUGGGCUUCUUACACUCCUUCCCACCACACUGCCAGCCCCUGGGAGGAGUACCCUAAAAUACAGACGCCACCUCUGCUGGCAGUCCUUCCAUGGUUUCCCAUCACCUGCAAGAUGAAGUCCAGGCUCAUCAUUUUACAGCUGGCCCCUUUCUGCCCCUCCCACGCACGGCCCCUCCCCACUCGACACUAACCCAUCACCCGCUCUACUUACUUCCAGUUCCCCAAACUUGCCAGGCAGUUUAGAGCCUCUGCCCUGAGCAAGUUCCCAUCACCUGGAAUGCUCUUCCUCACCUUGUUUCCUAGUCAGCUUGUCUCCGGAGCAGUUUCUGUCAUUUCCAUUGUGCAACCUUUUUGGACCGCUCCAAAUAAUUUCCGUUUGCUAUUUAACAUUCAUUGAGCACUUAACUGUAUGCUAGGAGUUGCGCCAACCCUGUACGUGCAUCACCGCACUUACUCCUCACAGUCCUGGGAGGUGGGGACUAGUGCCCUUGAGAAUAUCACACAGAUCCAAGUGCUGGGUUCAAGGUCACCUAGCCUAAGCUCUUCACUACCCAGUGGUAACUAUCUUCUCUGGGCUUCCGUUCUCCCUUGCAGAGAGCACUCUGACUUGUCAUUGUAGCUUUGUGUGCAUGCUUCUCCCCUCAGAUCUGUCCUCUGGGACAGAGCAGCCAGACAGUAAGUAAAUGGAAUGAAGAAGCCCCUGGGCCUGUGGUCAUCUUCUAUAUGCUUUAUAAACUUAUUGCAUGAUCCUUUCAUUUCUUUGUGGGAGGUGUUUCUUGAAACUUUGCUUAUGGCCACCCGCAUGGGUCUUUCAGGCUAUUCAUGGGACUUCGAUGCCACAAAUAGUUUUCAGUUGCUUAUAGCAGCACUGUAGUUAAUAAUAUGGACACUAUGAAAGAGAGAGAAGACACGGCCCCUGCUCUUCAUUUGCAGAGAUGAGAUUUGCCACAUGGGACACAAUUAGUGAUUAAAGACAAUACAUUUGAAUAUUUGAUUGCAUAACUUGCAAAUUCUUUGGCAUGACCUUCUUUGGCAAGGCCUUUGGUGAUCUGAUGCGAGACCACUUUUCCAACUUUGUCUACUAUUCUCCCACAGACCCCAAUCAUGCUGAUGUGUUUUGCAGUGCUCUGAGCCCACCAUGCUUUCGAUGCUUCUGUUCCCAUGUACAUAUUGUUCCUUUUGCCUAGAAUGCCUUCUCCUUCCCAUCUGCGUAGCAACCUCCGCUCAUCUUUUAUAACCAUCUUCAGUGCUGCUUCCAUUAGAUCCUUUUCUUUGGGUUUUCAUGGCCUGUGUAUAUUUUUUCUGUAGUGUGACCCUUAUCCUAUAGUCUAUGAGUCAAUUUUGUUCCAAGUCCGACCUGCCUGUUAAACAUUGAGCUAGUUGAGGGCAAGGCCCAUGUCUCAGUGAUGGAAAAAUGAAUGACCAAAUCAUAAAAAAUGUUUACAUAGAAAGGAGGGUGGGAUGGUGUUCCAACAUGGCUGGUUGUCAGUCAGGAAUCACACUUGACUGCAAGGGUAGAGAUCUGAAUAAAGUGGUUCAUUCUGCCCUGUGAAACCAGUUUAGAGGUCGGUGGCCGAUUGUUGGUGUGGGGGUGUCGCUGUGUCAUCAGGAGCCCAGGCUCCGGCGCUCUGCUCAGCCCCCUUUAAUGCGUGGCUUCCCUCUGCACUGCAAGGUAACCUCAUGGUUGCUUGAGCUACAGAGAGCUCAGCUACAGAGCUACAGAGAGGAGGAAAGAGAAGGGCUGUGAGGAAAGAGCAAGUCCAUGAAGGUAGCUUCCUGUAAAAACAUGUCUCAGGGUCCUACCCAGAAGCUCUGCUUUCAUUUCAGAGGCCAGAAUUUAGUCACAUGGGUAUGUCUAGCUGAAUUUUGAAGAGAUAAAUAUAUGGCAAUAAAUACAGGUAAGAAGAAAUUAUAAAUAUAAUAUUUAUGUUGAUUAUAUUAUACUUAAAUAUAAUGUAAAUAAAGUAAGUGUAUGGUAAUAGCAAAUUUUAAAUGACAUUUUUCUUUUAAAAAAACAGCUUUUAGGUGCAAAUGGACUCUUCUAUAAAGAAGAUAUAAAUUGGUCAAUAAACACACAAAAAGAUGCUCACCAUCAUUAGGCAUUAGGAAAAUGCUAAUCAGAAUCACAAUGAGAUGCCACUUCACACCCUCUAGAAUGGCUCUAGAAUCAAAAAGACAUAGUAACAAGUGUUCACAAGGACCUGGAUUAAUUACAAUCCUCCUACAUUGCUGGUGGGACUGUAAAGUGGUGUAGCCACUUUGGAAACCAGUCUGAUGGUCCAAAAUGUUAAACAUUGAGUUGCCAUAUGACCUGGCAAUUUCACUUCUAGAUAUACACCCAGGAGAGUGAAGACAUCCAUCCACGCAAAAACUUGUACACGAGUGUUUAUAGUAUUACUAUUCAUGAUAGCCCAAAGUAGAAGCAACCAAAAUGUCCGUCACAUAAUGAGUGGAUCAACAAAUUGUGGUCUAUCCAUAUAAUGGGAUAUUAUUCUGCCAUAAAAAUGAAUGACGUACUGACACAUUCUGUGACAUGGAUGAACCUUGAAAACAUGCUGACUGAAAGAAGACAGUCACAAAAGACAACAUAGUGUAUGAUUCCAUUUAUGUGGAAUGCCAAGAACAGGCAAAUCUAUAGACAGAAACUAGAUUAGUGGUUGCCUAGGAGUGAGGGGGAAUGGGGAGCGAUUGCUAAUGAAUGUCUCUUGGGGAUGAUGAAAAUGUUCUAAAAUUAGAUAGUGGUGUUCAUUGCACAACUUUGAAUAUACUAAAAACCACCAUACACUUUUAAAAGGGUGAAUUGUCUGGCGUGUGAAUUAUACCUCAAUAAAGUCGCUUUAAAAACCAGCUUUUAUCUGUUUGUAAGACUUAUCUUCAAAGUUAACUUCAAAAGAAAUGAACUGGUAGGGAGGGUGGGGAGAAGUUCCCCAAACCAGUUAACAUUUCAAGGACUGUAUUUGUCUUCUCUUCAUUUGAGUCUUAGCUUAAAAAAAAAAAAAAAAAAUCUGCCUUGCUUGGUCAGGGUCAGAUCCAUCUGGCUGGUUGCCCAGAUGAUGGAGAUUCUGAGAGGUUUCUUUGUUCUGCAGACUUCUCAUUUAAAAAAUGAACUAUUUUUUUCUGAGUCUCCAAAGCUGAGGAAUAGAGAUGCCAGGGGGUCAGCAAAUAGACAUAGGAAGCCACUUCUCUGUAAACCAGGAUGUCAUAAGGGUUUGCUCUAUGGAGCUCUUGUUCCUUGGGGAUUUUGUUGCUGAUAGAUGGGCAGAGGCAGCUCAAAGGCCGUGGGGAAAUCACAGUGUGCUUGGACAGCUUCUGUGCCAAGACUUUGCAUAUAGGCAACUCCUGCCUGAUUAGGAGCUCUGUCUCCCUAAGCCUCUGAUUCCUCAUCAGUGAAUUGGGAAAGUGAAUAAUCUCACCCCAGGGUGGUCGCACCAGAUCAUGGCCCUGAGCGUGCUCUGGUAUAUGCCGGUUGUAUACCCCACGGGUGACUUUGGGGUGGCUCCAGGGGGCAUGGUUUGAGAAAUGAAAGAGGGAAGAUUGGCAGGAGAAGAGACACCUUGGACAUCGUGAGGGAGUGGUUGUCAGGAUGGAAGGUAGAAGUGAUGAUUGGAAGGCUGUGGUGACAAGGAUUGCCAGAAGGCACUGGCCAGCAGUCCUUCCUCAGCCAGUGUUACUGGUGUGCUGGUUGGGGGCCACUGAAGUCAGACCACAGGGGCAGCUGGCCUGCAUGGCAUGGAAAAUGCUGGCAAAGGUGGUGGGGGAGGACCCUACCCCGUCUGCUCUAAGCUUCCCUUAGGUCAGCUUUUGUGACAUGUUCUGGAUUCUUCAGCAUCUUUUGCAGAGGCUCAUAUUCUCACAAAGCCCCUCUGGAAUUAAAAAGAAAUAAAUCAUCCUUUUUGUGUACCGCAAGAUUAAGAAGUGGACUUUACAUUUUUUGUCAAUGUAUUUUAGACUGAUACGCUACUAAAGAAUGUCCUUAUGGGGUUCAUUUUGAUUAGAUAAAUGAAACUUUCAGAUCUGAUUACAAAACCUCGAAGUCUAUCUGUGGAUUUUCCCAGCUAUUUUUGUGUUUAUCAAACUGUUCUUCACACUCCCUCUCUUCAAUUGCUGUUCUAUUUUUUUAAGUUGAUUUUUUUUUUCUUAGUAAUCUCUAUACUCAAUGAGCUUGAACUCGUGACCUCAAGAUCAAGAGUCACAUGCUCUUCUGACUGAGCCAGCCAGGCACUCCAACCAGUGGUCUAUUUUUGAUAUGUAUUGAGAAAAUACGAAUAAAACACAAUUUAGAAGUAAGAGUAACAACCACCAUAGCACCUAAUGGUGUUCAGAUGACCCAGACACAAAUAUGCUUCUUUGCUACCCCACACAUGUCUACUUGAUGAGCAUGCAGAGCCCUCAAGAAAUUCUAUUAAAGUGGGGAAAUAUUUAUUAUAGUUCAUUGAUUUUAAGGCAUUUCCCCCAUUUUAACAUCUCUUAAAUUGUGAUAUGUCUUAUAGUCAGUGGCAUCUUACAUUGAUUUUUUUUUCUUUCUUGUACAAUGGUGCAUCUUAUAAUCAAUUGCUUAAAACCUUGCUUUGAUGAAAUGUGGCCAAUAUUAGUCAUUGAAUUGAGAAAAUGUAUUCUCUGUCUGCCCUUGGAUGUACAUGUUGAAUGAUUGCAUGCCCACCCUUGCAUCACCACCAGGAACUUCCACAUCACCCCCUCCAGACAGCCAAUAAAGCAUCUUUUUGUUCUUUGCAGAUUUUUAUUACUAAAUUACAAGAAGAUCUC
rnacentral:lncRNA from 1 species